AUCUCUGAUAUUCAGAUCAGAUAGGCCUUUUGGAUGAGUCAUGUCUUUUCAUUUUGGUACCUCUCUAAUGGCUAUAAAAGGGCCUGGGCACUGGGUGUCUGAGGCAUUCAGAUAUACUUUUCAAUUCCUCUCUAUUGCUCUCCUUUCUUUCUUACAACCCAUCUUAGUUUUAGAAUAAGGCUUUGGGAUUUAAGACAAAACCUCAUCUGGUCUAGACAAGGGUUGGAAGGUCUUAAAGAAGGAGAUUCAAAAGUCUAGAGGUAGCUCUAAGAGGAUCGAGUCAGGUUCUUGGGGAAGCCUGAUCGAUACAGGACUAGUCGAGUUCUAGGGCCUAAAACUCUUGAAGCAAGGUG
rnacentral:lncRNA from 1 species